rnacentral:rRNA from 1 species
GACGAACGCUGGCGGCGUGCCUAAUACAUGCAAGUAGAACGCUGAAGGAGGAGCUUGCUUCUCCGGAUGAGUUGCGAACGGGUGAGUAACGCGUAGGUAACCUGCCUGGUAGCGGGGGAUAACUAUUGGAAACGAUAGCUAAUACCGCAUAAUAGCAGUUAUUGCAUGAUAACUGUUUGAAAGGUGCAAUUGCAUCACUACCAGAUGGACCUGCGUUGUAUUAGCUAGUUGGUGGGGUAACGGCUCACCAAGGCGACGAUACAUAGCCGACCUGAGAGGGUGAUCGGCCACACUGGGACUGAGACACGGCCCAGACUCCUACGGGAGGCAGCAGUAGGGAAUCUUCGGCAAUGGACGGAAGUCUGACCGAGCAACGCCGCGUGAGUGAAGAAGGUUUUCGGAUCGUAAAGCUCUGUUGUAAGAGAAGAACGAGUGUGAGAGUGGAAA